rnacentral:lncRNA from 1 species
ACAAGGUUGUUGCCUAACUCUAAUUCUUAGUCUUCUUUAAAGGUAACUAUUUGAUAUAUAUCACCAUUAAUAAAUGAAAGGAAUUCCAUUCAGAACCACAAAGGACAUUGUAAUUAACAACAUGAUGGUAGGUAAGAAAAUAGGCAGCAAACUAGAGAAGUAAUUGACCACAUAGGGACUGUCUCUUAAAUCAUUUAAAAACAGAAAUAUUUCAGGUGCAUAGCAUUAAUUUAAUUUAGAUGUAAUAUGAUUGCAGCUGAGGCUGAUUAUUCUUGAACUGAGGGAAUAGUCUGUGGUUUUACAGUUACUGUAAAAAUCUACAGCUCUUAAUUCUAUGAAUACAUUUUUCAUAAACUGACAUGGUUUACCAUUUAAUUACUUUCACAUCAGAUUUAAAUUAAAUAUAUAUUUGAGAGCACGAAGUGGAUGUUGUGGGAAAUGUGGAAAACUCUGCUCCCAUACAAAAGACUCUUUUGACAGACUUCUAACUCCAGUAGAAAAACUUGUUAGUACACCUUAAAUCGAGUACUUGGGAAGUGUGAAGACAGCAAGAGGUUCAGCUAACUAACCAGCUCCCUGUUGGACAUGUGAAGAAAUGUUCCUGCUUCACUGUGAAAAAAAAGAAAACAACAAAGCACAAAUAUUCUUACUGCAGCUGUUCUUCCUAUUUGAAAUGGCAACACUUGCAAUGGAGGAAAUUGAACUUCAGCUAGAUGGGAUUUGGAGAAGAUGAAGGUUACCUACAACUGUUUCAGUGAGACACAUCACCACAAGCAUUAUUAGAAAUAUGCUUAAUUACAUUAGUUUUAGGUAAAGAUGAUCUGUCUAAAGAUGAUCACUGAGAAUGUAAACACAGGAAAUGUCUGAUCCAAAGCAAAUGCAAUGAAGUCUUUCAGUUUGUUGAAAUGUCUAGAUUUUUUUGGAUUUCUGAAUUACAGUAUGUUAAUUACAAAGUCGUUAUAGAGGUUUUGCUUUAUUACAAAAUCUGUGAUUCUUGAAGUUUUUAAGCAUACUCCUUCUGUUAUGAUAAAUACUCAAUAAAAUUAAGUUCUGCCAUAGACA